rnacentral:tRNA from 1 species
AAUAAGGUGCCUGAUAAAAGGAUUAUCUUGAUAGGAUAAAUCAUAUAAUUUUAUAUUAUACUUAUUA